UUUCGUUUUGAUGUAGCAA
rnacentral:misc_RNA from 1 species